UCAACAGCACUUGAGUGAGGAAGAAGGCACUUGGCAAGGCCACCAAGGUCACCUCAGGCCUUCCCAGCCUGCACUGGCUGCCACCCCUACAUGGCCCACAUCAUGGGGGGAUGACAGUAGUGGUGGUGAGGCACCAUGUGGCAGAGGGGACUCUCACUGCACCCACCCAAACAGGCACGCUCAGGCCAACAGAACCUCAUUAGAGAUCGCUAUUAUCACAGAAGCUAGCCUACGACAGCUCCACCUUCCAAACAGGCCAGUGGAACUUGGUUACUGAAUGGCCAGGAGACACCUUCACGGAAACACCAGGACCCAAAGUAUACGCCUGUGCUGGCACCUCUACGCGGCACCCACUUCUGUGCUUCUGGGCCUGGGCCCGGCUGCAGUCCGUGAGGACGGUGCCUCCCCCGCUCUCCUCAGGCAGGCGGAUUCAUCGUCACAUUCAAAGAGGCCGCAGCUUCCCCAUUGCUAAGAUGAAAACGCACUGUGUUCACCGGGCUGAGGAUGCAUGAUCCACCUGCCGGGCCCGAGGGAGGAGGGAGGACAGAAGUACAUCCGAGAAUCACUGCAGCCCAAGACCCAGCGCUCCGAGCUGUGGACAAUUAUAAUCAUCUAAAUCAAAAAUAUAAGAGUAUCUAUGGAACAUUCUGAAAGAAACACACCAUUUGUAAACUUUCGGAGAUAACGAAUUCAUGAAUGCUCCAUUUACAGUGUUGUCUCCAGCGUUUAAAAAACAACGUACCAAGUACCAUAUUUAUGGCCAUUAAAAAAAAUGUUUCUAAA